rnacentral:rRNA from 1 species
GGACUACUGGGGUAUCUAAUCCUGUUCGCUCCCCACGCUUUCGCUCCUCAGCGUCAGUAACGGCCCAGAGACCCGCCUUCGCCACCGGUGUUCCUCCUGAUAUCUGCGCAUUCCACCGCUACACCAGGAAUUCCAGUCUCCCCUGCCGCACUCCAGCCAGCCCGUACCGGAAGCCAACCCGCCGUUAAGCAGCGGGCUUUCACUCCCGACGCGACAAGCCGCCUACGAGCCCUUUACGCCCAAUAAAUCCGGACAACGCUCGCACCCUACGUAUUACCGCGGCUGCUGGCAC